UCGUUGUAGCAAUACGAUGGAAAGUUUAGUGGCGAACGGGUGCUUAACACGUGGGCAACCUGCCAGGAAGUGGGGGAUAGCUCGCCGAAAGGCGAAUUAAUACCGCAUGUGAUUAGAGAGGACAUCCUUUCGAAAUUAAAGUCGGGGCAACCUGACGCUUCUUGUGGGGCCCGCGGCCUAUCAGCUAGCUGGUGAGGUAACGGCCCACCAAGGCUUUGACGGGUAGCUGGUCUGAGAGGACGACCAGCCACACUGGGACUGAGACACGGCCCAGACACCUACGGGUGGCAGCAGUCGAGAAUUUUUGACAAUGGGGGAAACCCUGAUCGAGCGACGCCGCGUGGAGGAUGAAGGUCUUCGGAUUGUAAACUCCUGUCAUUGGGGAACAAUGCACAGAUAUUAACUGUAUUUGUGUUGAUAGUACCCGAAGAGGAAGAGACGGCUAACUCUGUGCCAGCAGCCGCGGUAAUACAGAGGUCUCAAGCGUUGUUCGGAUUCAUUGGGCGUAAAGGGUGCGUAGGCGGCGCGGUAAGUCGGGUGUGAAAUCUCGGGGCUUAACUCCGAAACUGCAUUCGAUACUGCCGUGCUUGAGGACUGGAGAGGAGACUGGAAUUCACGGUGUAGCA
rnacentral:rRNA from 1 species